GAGUUUGAUCAUGGCUCAGAUUGAACGCUGGCGGCAUGCCUUACACAUGCAAGUCGAACGGCAGCAUGAUCUAGCUUGCUAGAUUGAUGGCGAGUGGCGAACGGGUGAGUAAUACAUCGGAACGUGCCCUGUAGUGGGGGAUAACUAGUCGAAAGAUUAGCUAAUACCGCAUACGACCUGAGGGUGAAAGUGGGGGACCGCAAGGCCUCAUGCUAUAGGAGCGGCCGAUGUCUGAUUAGCUAGUUGGUGGGGUAAAGGCCCACCAAGGCGACGAUCAGUAGCUGGUCUGAGAGGACGAUCAGCCACACUGGGACUGAGACACGGCCCAGACUCCUACGGGAGGCAGCAGUGGGGAAUUUUGGACAAUGGGCGAAAGCCUGAUCCAGCAAUGCCGCGUGUGUGAAGGAGGCCUC
rnacentral:rRNA from 1 species